CGGGGAUUCCGAGUGUAGAGGUGAAAUUCGUAGAUAUUCGGAGGAACACCAGUGGCGAAGGCGGUUCUCUGGGCCUUUCCUGACGCUGAGGAGCGAAAGCGUGGGGAGCGAACAGGCUUAGAUACCCUGGUAGUCCACGCUGUAAACGGUGGGUACUAGGUGUGGGGUCCAUUCCACGGGUUCCGUGCCGUAGCUAACGCUUUAAGUACCCCGCCUGGGGAGUACGGCCGCAAGGCUAAAACUCAAAGGAAUUGACGGGGGCCCGCACAAGCGGUGGAGCAUGUGGUUUAAUUCGACAACGCGAAGAACCUUACCAGAACUUGACAUAUCGCAAACUUUUUUGAGAAAAAUUGGUGCCUUAGGGAAUGCGAAUACAGGUGGUGCAUGGCUGUCGUCAGCUCGUGUCGUGAGAUGUUGGGUUAAGUCCCGCAACGAGCGCAACCCUUAUUUUUAGUUGCCAUCAUUUAGUUGGGGACUCUAGAAAGACUGCCGGUGAUAAACCGGAGGAAGGUGAGGAUGACGUCAAGUCAGCAUGCCCCUUACGUUCUGGGCUACACACGUGCUACAAUGGGUAGGACAAAGAGCAGCUAACUUGUGAAAGUAAGCAAAUCUCAUAAACCUAUUCUAAGUUCGGAUCGCAGGCUGCAACUCGCCUGCGUGAAGGUGGAAUCGCUAGUAAUCGCCGGUCAGCUAUACGGCGGUGAAUCCGUUCCCGGGCCUUGUACACACCGCCCGUCACACCAUGGAAGCUGGCCAUGCCCGAAGUCGUUACUUUAACCUUUUGGAGGAGGGCGCCUAAGGCAGGGCUAGUGACUGGGGUGAAGUCGUAACAAGGUAGCCGUACUGGAAGGUGCGGCUGGAUCACCUCCUU
rnacentral:rRNA from 14 species